UACGGGGGGGGCAAGCGUUGUUCGGAAUUACUGGGCGUAAAGGGUUCGUAGGUGGCCGGCUAAGUCAGACGUGAAAUCCCUCAGCUUAACUGGGGAACUGCGUCUGAGACUGGUCGGCUUGAGUGCAGGAGAGGAACGCGGAAUUCCAGGUGUAGCGGUGAAAUGCGUAGAUAUCUGGAGGAACACCGGUGGCGAAGGCGGCAUCCUGGACCGAGAUUGACGCUGAGGCGCGAAAGCCAGGGGAGCAAACGGG
rnacentral:rRNA from 1 species